GAACAUAAGUACAUAACACAAAAGCAGCGAGAGAGAGAGAGACAGAGAUAGAGAGGGAGAGGGAGAGGGAGAGAGAGAGAGAGAUGAAACUGGUGAGUUACAUGUCACAAUGGAGAGGCAUUGCAAAGGAAGCUAUGGACCGAACAGCCAUAGCAGUGAAGUUCCUCUGUUGCCUUCACAUUACGGACACCUACUUCUGUUCCCCAACUCACGUGUAUGGGCCUAGUAUGCUACCCACACUCAACAUGGUAGGCGACAUCGUUUUGGUUGAACACGUGUCUCAGAGGCUUGGGAAGGUUCGGCAUGGUGACUUGGUUGUGAUUCGGUCACCGUUGGACCCUAAGAGGUGCCUUACCAAAAGGAUUAUGGGAAUGGAAGGGGAUACUGUUACUUACUUUGAUCCUAUGCUUGGUGAUGCUACUCGUGUUGCUGUGGUGCCAAAGGGGCAUGUUUGGAUUCAAGGGGAUAACAUCUUUGCAUCCCAUGAUUCACGGCAUUUCGGCCCUGUUCCUUAUGGCCUUAUACAAGGAAAAGUGUUUUUCAGGGUUUGGCCACUUGAUUGCCUUGGAGUACCGGGUCAAUAAAGAUGUUUUGAAGAAGGUACCUGUUGGGGUACUGUAAUGUGAAAAUAUCCAUUACUUAGGGAGGGAUAAGAUUUGAGUUGAUUUGGAGGCAAAGAAGAUAACUUUUUAUUUGGGUUAAAUUUUUUAUUUUGUGAAAAACGAGUAAGUAUAGUUAUAGUUGUGAGCUUUUGUACACAGUACAAGGAAGAAUGAAUCUUGUGAUUUGUGAAUGGCCACUAGUAGGUAAACCCAGUGUGCGGCUUUCUGCUACUAGCCUCCAUUUCUCUUCCUUAUCACGGCCUAUAGUACGAGGUUAAUAGAUGAUGCUUUUCAUUUGCUUAUCGCGAAGAACUUAUGGUCAUUCAUCCGGGUACAAUGCAAUAUACUUGGAUGAGCCUCAGUGGUUGCCAUGAAGGUGGCAUUUAGCAAGGUAGAGCACCUGAAGGACCAUAGCUCCCUUUUGUAACAGUGAGAUCAUUUACAUUCAGCUUAGGAUUUCUUUUCCAAUACAAUCUCCUUUUCAUACACUGAAAAUAGAGGAUCAGAGGUUUAACAGGAUAAUUAAUCUGAUUUGUUUUGUGUGGCUGAAUGCCAUCUGUGUUUCUUAAGGAUUUUGAUUUUUAAUACAAAUUUAAAAUAACCACUCCACCUAUUAGUUUGAAGGAGAUUGACUCUUGUAUACUUAAAGACUUGCCAGAUUUAUGUUUUUAUUCCCCCU